CAAACCCUCCCCAUCCCUUUGACCGCACCGGUUUUCGUUCGAUCACCGACGGUAAGCAACGUUAGGUCCGGCUAGUACCUGCAUGGGUAACCGGCUGGGAAUACAGAGUGUGGUUGA
rnacentral:rRNA from 1 species